AUUGAACGCUGGCGGCAGGCCUAACACAUGCAAGUCGAGCGAGCGGCGGACGGGUGAGUAAUGUCUGGGAAACUGCCUGAUGGAGGGGGAUAACUACUGGAAACGGUAGCUCAUACCGCAUACCAUCAGAUGUGCCCAGAUGGGAUUAGCUAGUAGGGGGGGUAACGGCUCACCUAGGCGACGAUCCCUAGCUGGUCUGAGAGGAUGACCAGCAAAACUGGAACGGAGAAACGGUCCAGACCCUUACGGGAGGCAGCAGUGGGGAAUAUUGAACAAUGGGAGCAAGCCUGAUGCAGCCAGGCCGGGUGGGUGAAGAAGGCAUUCGGGUUGUAAAGCACUUUCAGCGGGGAGGCGUUACCCGCAGAAGAAGCACCGGCUAACUCCGUGCCAGCAGCCGCGGUAUAC
rnacentral:rRNA from 1 species